rnacentral:lncRNA from 1 species
CAACGCUUUUAUCAAAUUACUCAAGCACGUUAGUCAAUUAUAUGCACUCCUACAUAUACUCAAGUUGAGAAAGGGAUAUCAUUGAUUAUUAAUGUUGGGAUCGAAAGAGACUUAUACGUUGACUCCCGAAUAAGAUAUUUAUAUUUAAUUUCUAUGUUAACUUCUAAAUACAAUAUUUGUACUUUCCUUUCCUAUCGUCUUGCAGGAGAUGGUAGGCAUACAGAUCACGAGGAACAUAUUGAGGGAGAUGAGAAUGAGAGUCAAGGAGUACGUAUCACUACUACUCGAGAUUGCAACUCAAUUCUACUGCUGCCGAAGAUUUUAUUUUGGACAGCUCUAUUCUUCUCAUUUUUUGGAACUUCAAUAGGCUUUUUUAUUGUCUAUGAUAUUGUUUUGGACUAUGUCUAUGUACAUAGUUACUCAUUCUGGAAUUAAAACUGACUUGUAAGGUCAUUUUGCCUUGCAUCUACUUUGUUAAAAGGCUUUUGAACUAUGACUAUUGCAUUGUGAUUUCAAAUACAUCUUGAUUUUAAUUUUUGUUGGUGCA